CUUCUAACAGAUACACUCGGCGGUUUUUACAGCACAGUUUUACGUUUCUCAACAUUGAAUCUUAAUUGCCAACUUCAAUUUUCAAAGAUAUCAGUUCUUUUCUCUGUGCUUUUUCAACAGUUUCUUGCGAUUUUCUGGAAUUCGUUGAGAAUAUUGGAUAUACUGUGUAGGUAUUAUAUAUGACCCAUUCAAGGUGGAUAUGGAGUAAAGUCAAAUGGAAGGAUAAAUGUAUUUCCUAGAUAUAAAAAUCGAUCUAUAUUCUUAAAGCUUUUUAUGAAAAGAAACCUGUUCAGUUUCUGAGUGUCUGACUAAAAUGUAAGAAAUAUAUAUUGACGGACAUUUUUUCUGCGGAAUUCUAGCUAUUUGUUGUCUUUCGGUUUAUUCGCGAAUCGCGUGCAGAAGUGACGCAUUACAAGCGAUGACCAGGAUUCUUAUUAAGGAAAUAAAGGAAAACUCAUCAAUAACCCCUGAUUAGUGUAUUGACAAUUGUCAUGCUAAAACUGACAGAAAUAAAACGAGAACAUUAACUAACGUGUAUAAACAGUGACAGCUUAGAGGAAAUGGAUUUAGAGGAAAGGUAUUGGAGAAAAAAAUAUAAGGUAAUAAUGAAAGUCAUAAAUUUCUAAUAAUAAAACCAGUUGUCUACAUAACAGUAUACAUGUAUACACCAUAUUUUGAGGAAGACAAUUAAAUGGCGAUAAAUUCAUCGAGGGAUUCAGUUGAAACGAAGCCAUGGAAAAUAUAGUGCUUUAAUUUGAACUGAACAGUGGUUUAAUGAAACAAAAGUAUCUGUAAAUAUUACAUGCUUAAUGGAAUGCGUGGAAUAUAUAUUGAGAAGGACGGAACAUAACUGACUUUUCAUUAGCACACAGUGACGACUGUCACAACACGAAUCUUUUCCGCAAUAACGCACUAACUCUCUCCGAAACAAAUAUUUGCUAGAACGUAUUAAAUGGAUCUUUAAAUUUUCUUUAGUGCAAGGAAACGACUCCAUUUAUAAUUUAUAUUCUGCUCGAAACCGGAUUUAUUUAGAUAAUUUGUAGAUUUAUUUAGGUCUUUUAUUACUAUUCACAUACAUAUUCAUGCAUUGAAUGUUCAAAUGGAUUUAUUUAGUUCACAUGAAGGAAAGAACAAGAAUGGAUUUACUUAGAAGAUAUUAUUGCAGUGAAAUAAAGCGGAUUUAUUUAGGACAAUAAAACUUCAACAGACCAUAGUGACAUAUAUUCAUGUAGUGCUUCAACCACAGCACAGCCACAUUUGUUGAGUAUUCCGUUUAAAUUUUAAAAUUCAAGACGGAUUUAUUCACCUGUUGUUGUCGGAACAAAGUCAUGGGAUGCACCCCCAGUAUACAUGUCAACCAGACCGGCGUCGUAUACUGCCGUGAUUCCGAUGGCUCGAACUCGCCACGUGCAUCGCACAGUGCCACUGUAAUUGCAGGGACUACAGUGGUUCGAACUGAGACAACUGAAACUUCCCACACCUCGUCCAUUCGGUCCAAACGUUUUACAGAAUAUAGUUCUGGACCUUCAGGCGGUGCUAGCUACAAGUUCGAGUCCUCAUCCGACAAUACUAAAAAGGCGUCAAACAGUGAUGUAAUGCUUGGGCCAAUGAAAUUGAAACAGAAGUCAAUGUCUAUACUGCUUGUGUUUUCCCGAGAAGAUUAUCAAAGUGAUGCCUUCUACUGGGCAGCAGAAAAAGCAGGCUACAAAUGUAACAUAUCUAGAAACCCUGAUAGUGCUCUUGAAUGUUUUAUGUCCAAGCAGCAUGAUGUUGUGAUAAUAGACCACAGAAAUAACAAGAGUUUCGAUGCUGAAGCACUUUGCAGAUCAAUACGAGGGACAAAAGCCAGCGAACAUACAAUAAUAGUUGCUGUCACUAAAAAACAUUCUCAGACAGACAAAGACGAACCUUCUAUUUUGCCACUGCUUAAAGCUGGGUUUAACAGAAGGUACGUCGAAAACUCAAAUGUUGGGGCAUGUAUGAAUGAACUUGUACAGCUAGAACAUGGGGAGGUUUUAUCACACCAAAAGUUACGCACGUGCAAUGCAUUAUUCAGCGCUCUUGAAAGUGUUUCAGACUCUGUGGAAAUCACAAAUGAUGAACAUGAAAUUCAGUUUGUGAAUCCUGCUUAUGAGCGUUUAACUGGAUACUCAAUGGAAGAGGUUGUGGGGAAAGAUUCACGGGAACUCAAAGGUGAACGUGUUAAACCAGAUAUACAAGAUGGCAUUAAUAAUCAGAUUAAAAAGGGAAAGAAAUGGGAAGGUACAUACUACACAAGAAGGAAAAGUGGAGACGCAUUUCCGCAGCAUUGUAAAAUUUGUCCUGUUGUAGGAGUGGGCGGAAAAGCAACUCAUUAUGUGAGUGUGCGCAGCUCCCAUCUAGAUACCUCAAACUUCUACGAUAAAUUGAAGGAUGCAGACUACUUCACUCAAAUUGCAAAUGGUGGUAUCCAUGGUGUACCGCGGAGAAGGGAAUCAUUCGCUCGGAUACACUCCAUGACGAUAGAAGCACCAAUUACAAAGGUUAUAAACAUUAUUAACACAGCACAGGAAAAUAGCCCAUUCACUGUAGCUCAGGCCUUAGAUAAAGUUUUAGAGAUUUUACGUACCAGUGAGCUAUAUUCACCGUAUUUUGCCCAAGAGUUCAAGGAUGGGGAUCCCAUGACAAGUGAUUAUCUGGGCGGACUUGUUUCACAAGAUGUGAAGCGACAUUUAAGGGAAGGAGAUCAGGCCCAUGCUAUGACUCACAGACCUUCAGUACAUCAAGCCCAGUCCCACCUGCCGAAUCAGCCAUCGAUGUUUUCCAGCAAACUUAUACCUGAUAAUAUUAGAGCUCUACUGGUAAAAGAAGCAGACUGGGACUUCGAUAUUAUAGAACUUGAAAGAGUAACGCACAAACGACCUUUGCUUUACCUUGGUUUACGUACGAUGGCACGGUUUGACGUAUGCGGUUUCCUCAACAUACCAGAGACAUGUCUUGCAAACUGGUUGCAGGUUAUCGAAGCAAAUUAUCACUCAAGAAAUACAUACCAUAACUCCACCCAUGCGGCUGAUGUACUCAACAGUACUGCUUACUUCCUAGAAAAGGGCAAAUGCAAGGCUAUAUUUGAUCCGAUUGACGAAGUUGCCGCCCUAAUUGCUGCUGCUGUUCACGACCUUGAUCAUCCGGGUAAAAGUAACGCAUUUCUCAUCAACUCUAAACAUGAACUCUCCAUAUUGUAUAAUGACAUUGCUGUGUUAGAAAGUCAUCAUGCUGCCCUCACAUUCAGAUUGACCGCCCAAGAUCCUGCAAUCAACAUAUUCAAAAAUCUAGACAGGGAAACGUUCCGUGUGAUGAGACAGGCCAUCAUAGACAUGGUACUUGCUACAGAAAUGAUGAAACAUUUUGAGCAUCUGAACAAAUUUGUCAAUGGUAUUAACAAGCUCACCCAGAAAGCUGAGGAAUCCUCAUCAAUGGUACAUUCCAGUUAUAUGCAGAGAACGAGUGAACUGGUUUGCAGUCCAGGAACUCUUUUAUGUGGUUGAAAUACUGAAUGGCAACAAACCCAAGUCAGUGUAAAAAGAAGAGAGAUUUUGGUUUGCAGCGGCAAGAUCUAUAGGCAAAAGUGGUACAGGAUCUCCAGACAGUGCAACCCUGAUCAGUCAGCUUUCAACUUCAGAGAACAAGAUGUUGAUACGACGCAUGCUCAUCAAGUGUGCCGAUGUAUCAAAUCCGUGUCGACCGGUGAACCUCUG
rnacentral:misc_RNA from 1 species